GACGAACGCUGGCGGCGUGCUUAACACAUGCAAGUCGAACGGAAAGGCCCCCUUGUGGGGUACUCGAGUGGCGAACGGGUGAGUAACACGUGAGUAACCUACCCUUGACUUUGGGAUAACUUCAGGAAACUGGGGCUAAUACCGGAUAGGAGCUCCUGCUGCAUGGUGGGGGUUGGAAAGUUUCGGCGGUUGGGGAUGGACUCGCGGCUUAUCAGCUUGUUGGUGGGGUAGUGGCUCACCAAGGCUUUGACGGGUAGCCGGCCUGAGAGGGUGACCGGCCACAUUGGGACUGAGAUACGGCCCAGACUCCUACGGGAGGCAGCAGUGGGGAAUAUUGCACAAUGGGCGGAAGCCUGAUGCAGCAACGCCGCGUGCGGGAUGACGGCCUUCGGGUUGUAAACCGCUUUCGCCUGUGACGAAGCGUGAGUGACAGUAAUGGGUAAAGAAGCACCGGCUAACUACGUG
rnacentral:rRNA from 1 species